AUGGAGACCCUUUGGGCCUGACCUCCACAGCAGCAACAGCGGCAGGAACCAUGUUUACUUCCAGACCUCGGGGACUGAAACUCCUUGCAGGCCUGGCUUAACUCUGCUGUUCCCAGAAAGCUCUCACAGUGGUCUGUGCAGGAGCACGGGCAGGCUGAGAAUGCCGUCCCCCAGGGCACCUGUAGUCUUCCCCGCCUCACUGGAAGCUCUACGCCCUCUGGAGCCCCGCCCCUCCCCCAUCAUGUGUCUUGGCUUGAGCCAACAUCCUAACUCAGAACAACAGAAGGUGUGUGGGAGCACUGUGUAUUCCUUGUAUAUGUGUGUACCUGGACUGUGGAUUUCCCAUGUGGACCAGCAUUCAGGAGUGUGCUGAGGCCAUAGCACAUGUGACAAGAGGACCCAUCGAACAGGGUCAUCCAGAUAGCAGAACUGCUGUCCCUGGAAUCAGAAGUAGGGGACUGGAUUCCCCUGCUCUCUGAGCCCCAGAGCUGCUGUCUGCAGAUACAGCAGAAUGCUCCUUCACCCCCAGGUUCCUGCAGAGCACAGUCAGGCAGGGGGAUGGAGAAACAACCCUGCCCCUGGCAAGGAUAGCAGGGUCCUCAACGGAAGUAAAGAUGCCAGAGGCUGGAGGGAUGGCGAUUCAAAUCACUCCUGUUGCUGUCAAAGUCAUGAGACUGUGAGACAUCACUAUGUGCUUCCUGGAAACCAGUAUUCUACUAACAGCCUUCAGAUGGUGAAGAACUCUCAGCUCCUCCUGCACCGUGCCUGCCUGGAUGCUGCCAUGCUCCUGCCUCAGUGAUAUGGACUGAACCUCUGAACCUAUUAGGACAGAAUUUCCAGCUGUUUCUGAAAUGAUCCUAAAUGGACUGCCAUUCGGUACUGCUGAUUUAUGCAAAGAGGCAUUGACCCUCAUAGACCCAAAAUAUCAAUCAACUCUGAAAAACGAAAAUGUUAUGUGCCCUGCAACAUCAAACAUUCAGCCAAGACUUAAUUCCUUGUGUUGAAAUAAACAAGUAUGCUCUUCUCAUUAGUAUGCAAAUUUUCUAUUGUGUUUAAUAAAUGGUAAAAUUAUCAAUGUUACAAAGAA
rnacentral:lncRNA from 1 species